GACUGUGAUAUUUUUGAAUAGUUUUCGAUCUUAAGUGUGUGUUAUGGCAACUUAUCGGAAGUAUCUUCCACCAAACUAUACCCGUUAAGAUCUGGCCAUCAAUUGAGUCGGUUAUACGGACACCAUAGAUUUAGACAUCAAAUAAGCUUCUUUUACGGAUAUCGUAAUCUCCCCUAUUUUUCGGGUGCUUCAUAGAAAGUGUCCAAAAAAAAUAGAAAACUUCCAACAGAAAAAAUCUUAGCAAGUUUCUUAGCGAGAAAGAUUUCUUUUUAAUAUUCCUAAGAUGAUGGUGAUUUGACCUAUGAUUGAUGAGAGACAUGCGUAGUAUCCUAUUGAUGUUCUUGACAUGUAGCCAAAUUUCAUAUGCUCUAUUACUGAUAGCAGUUUUCUAAGCAAUGAUGAGUACUUUUAGUAAUUGAUGUGAGCUUAAUUCUAAAGAUUCUAGGCUUUGUUGUUUGCCUAUAAAUAUACAAAAUUGAUGUUAUUGCUUUUAUGUUUCUUCAGUUGCUUCUUUACAUUUUCCACUUUGUGUUUAAGCAAGAUAUCAAUAAUGUUGUUGCUACUGUGUUAGAGGCUUUAUCCUCUUUGACACCGAAUCUCUCCAAAGAAGUAGCGGAGUCCGCCCAAAGCUAGAGAAAACGGUUAUUAAAGCUUCUUCCAGCAAACGAGCGAAAAAGGAAGUUGAGCCCACAGUAUACGAUGUUUUGCCAAGGGAGUUGACACUUGGACAUAUGGUAGUGUUAUGGAACAAUACCACAUGCCCUGUUGAUAUUCUUUCCUCUUUGGUGUGCCCCGAACAUCUCCCUUUGUUGAAGGAAGAAUAUGGCUCGGAGGAUUUAUAUGUUCAAGUGCCCUUGGACUCUUAGCGUAUAUCAAGUUCUAGAGAAGGUUAUACAUUCUAGUACACCAACCCCUUUACUUUGAAGUAUAAACCUCCGAUUAAUCAAACUUGGAUGGUGUGGGCUUCACUCUUCAACACCUCCUUCAUUUAUAUUACCCGAAGUUAUACUGGGGAAACAUCAUUAUGCUUUCUAGCCGGAGUACUCGAAAAGUAGUAGACACUGAAGAUGGCCAUGAUACAGGCUGACAUGACCGUUUUGUGGCUUGCGAGGAAGCCAUUUCUAGGAGAGUAAAAUGAUAAGUGCCUACUUGAUAUCUUCAUAGGUUUUGGAACAGAUCAGCCGCUAUGAAUGGGAGGUUUUGGAGUUGAGGUGUCUAGUGGAGGCAACUUGGGUUGAGGUUAAGAAAGAGCACUUAGAGAGGGCGGUUAAUGAGUCCCGAGCAAAGAGGAUGGAUGGAAAAUUUGAGCGGAUGAGGUUUGAGCUUACCUGGUCGUCCAAAAGGGUGUCUAGGCUCGAACUAAUACUUGGUUAGAAGUUGUCCCUCUUGGAUCUAGUCUCAGGACAAUGUGACGUCCUUGUGUAUUAUCUUCUUAGUGUAAAAGAAAAGGGAAGUUCUCUCGAGGAACAACUUGGAGCUUUGCGGGUCUAGGUGGAGAGGCUUGACUGCGAGAAAGAUAAGACUGUUUCUAACUUGAGGGAUAGUGAAAAUCAUGCUGAGCUUACCGAGCAUGCCAUGUUUUUGAAGUCCCCGGCUCAAAAUGCUCAGGUGGAUUCAUGAAAAUGAAAAUCUAGACCUGGAUAAAGGAGUAGAUGAGGCAAACAAAUCAUGGAGAGCCGCUCAAUUGAAGCUGGACAUGAUGGCAUCGAUAAUUACUCCUCCAGGGAUGAUUUGGAGCCUGUUGAGCCACAUGGAACUAUGGGUGAAGGGGCGACUGACAUCCACUCAACCUCCCAGGUUGUGCCGCUUCUAGGUACUCUCCCAGCAUCUUUCGUUGCUCCCUUGCAUCCUUUAGUUGCUUCUUUUCCCCCAAAUCCCCGUCCAGAUACACCGAACUCUUCCUUCUCUGGUGGUCGUUGAUGAACCCCUGCAGUGACUAGUGACUAGUUUGUGUUCGUACUUAAUCAUUUUGUUUUUCUUUUAGUUUUUUUGGAAGUUUGUUUUGGGAAGUUCUGUGAGUUUUCCAAGACAUAUUUUUGAUUGUUAA